rnacentral:rRNA from 1 species
GGAUGAACGCUAGCGGCAGGCCUAACACAUGCAAGUCGCGGGGCAGCACGGGUAGCAAGUACCUGGUGGCGACCGGCGCACGGGUGCGUAACGCGUAUGCAACCUGCCCCCAUCAGGGGGAAUAGCCCGCCGAAAGGCGGAUUAAUGCCCCAUAGGCCCAGGGCGCCGCAUGGCGCUAUGGGUAAAGCUCCGGCGGAUGGGGAUGGGCAUGCGUGCCAUUAGCUAGUUGGGGCGGUAACGGCGCACCAAGGCGACGAUGGCUAGGGGGUCUGAGAGGAUGGUCCCCCACACUGGUACUGAGACACGGACCAGACUCCUACGGGAGGCAGCAGUGAGGAAUAUUGGUCAAUGGGCGGAAGCCUGAACCAGCCAUUGCCGCGUGCAGGAUGACGGCCCUACGGGGUUGUAAACUGCUUUUCCCCGGGAAGAAUAAGCCCCUCGUGAGGGGUGAUGCCGGUACCGGGGGAAUAAGGAUCGGCUAACUCCGUGCCAGCAGCGGC